CCCACCCACGGACCAAGGAGUCUAACACGUGCGCGAGUCGCAGGGUAGUACGAAACCCGAAGGCGCAACGAAAGUGAACCUUUUCUUACGAAUCGGUAGGUGGGAUCCCGGACCGAAUCCCGCUCGCGGGAAGAAUGGGCGCACCACCGGCCUGUCUCGGCCGCGACGUCGGCGAGGCGGAGCAAGAGCGUACGCGUUGGGACCCGAAAGAUGGUGAACUAUGCCUGAGCAGGAUGAAGCCAGAAGAAAUUCUGGUGGAGGUCCGCAGCGAUUCUGACGUGCAAAUCGAUCGUCAAACUUGGGUAUAGGGGCGAAAGACUAAUCGAACCAUCUAGUAGCUGGUUCCCGUCGAAGUUUCCCUCAGGAUAGCUGGCGCUCAUUGGAUAAGCAGUUUUAUCCGGUAAAGCGAAUGAUUAGAGGCCUUGGGGACGUACAGACCUCAACCUAUUCUCAAACUUUAAAUGGGUAAGACGUCCGUCUCGCUUGAUUGGAGUCGGGCUGUUCGAAUGCGAGUGCCAAGUGGGCCAUUUUUGGUAAGCAGAA
rnacentral:rRNA from 1 species